UGGGGAAUAUUGGGCAAUGGGGGAAACCCUGACCCAGCAACGCCGCGUGAAGGAAGAAGGCUUUCGGGUUGUAAACUUCUUUUGUUAGGGAAGAAAUUGACGGUACCUAACGAAUAAGCCACGGCUAACUACGUGCCAGCAGCCGCGGUAAUACGUAGGUGGCAAGCGUUGUCCGGAAUUACUGGGUGUAAAGGGCGCGUAGGUGGGAUUAUAAGUCUGAUGUGAAAUCUAUCGGCUCAACCGGUAGACUGCAUUGGAAACUAUAAUUCUUGAGUGAUGGAGAGGCAGGCGGAAUUCCGUGUGUAGCGGUGGAAUGCAUAGAUAUACGGAGGAACACCAGUGGCGAAGGCGGCCUGCUGGACAUUAACUGACACUGAGGCGCGAAAGCGUGGGGAGCAAACA
rnacentral:rRNA from 1 species